rnacentral:rRNA from 1 species
UACGAAAGGGGCUAGCGUUGUUCGGAAUUACUGGGCGUAAAGCGCGCGUAGGCGGGCUAGCAAGUUGGGGGUGAAAUCCCGGGGCUCAACCUCGGAACUGCCUCCAAAACUGCUAGCCUAGAGGAUGUGAGAGGAUAGUGGAAGUCCGAGUGUAGAGGUGAAAUUCGUAGAUAUUCGGAAGAACACCAGUGGCGAAGGCGACUGUCUGGCGCAUUUCUGACGCUGAGGUGCGAAAGCGUGGGGAUCAAACAGG